rnacentral:rRNA from 1 species
AUUGAACGCUGGCGGCAUGCCUUACACAUGCAAGUCGAACGGCAGCAUGGAGAGCUUGCUCUCUGAUGGCGAGUGGCGAACGGGUGAGUAAAGCAUCGGAACGUACCGUGUAGUGGGGGAUAACGUAGCGAAAGUUACGCUAAUACCGCAUACGCACUGAGGUGGAAAGCAGGGGAUCGUAAGACCUUGCGCUAUACGAGCGGCCGAUGUCAGAUUAGCUAGUUGGUAGGGUAAAGGCCUACCAAGGCGACGUUCGGUAGCGGGUCUGAGGGGAUGAUCCGCCACACUGGGACUGAGACACGGCCCAGACUCCUACGGGAGGCAGCAGUGGGGAAUUUUGGACAAUGGGGGCAACCCUGAUCCAGCCAUGCCGCGUGAGUGAAGAAGGCCUUCGGGUUGUAAAGCUCUUUCGGCCGGGAAGAAAUCGCACAGGCUAAUACCCUGUGUGGAUGACGGUACCGGCAUAAGAAGCACCGGCUAACUACGUGCCAGCCGCCGCCGUAA